AACGAACGCUGGCGGCAGGCUUAACACAUGCAAGUCGAGCGCUGUAGCAAUACAGAGCGGCAGACGGGUGAGUAACACGUGGGAACGUACCCUUUACUACGGAAUAACGCAUGGAAACGUGUGCUAAUACCGUAUGUGCCCUUUGGGGGAAAGAUUUAGCGGUAAAGGAUCGGCCCGCGUUGGAUUAGCUAGUUGGUGGGGUAACGGCCUACCAAGGCGACGAUCCAUAGCUGGUCUGAGAGGAUGAUCAGCCACAUUGGGACUGAGACACGGCCCAAACUCCUACGGGAGGCAGCAGUGGGGAAUAUUGGACAAUGGGCGCAAGCCUGAUCCAGCCAUGCCGCGUGAGUGAUGAAGGCCUUAGGGUUGUAAAGCUCUUUCACCGGGGAAGAUAAUGACGGUACCCGGAGAAGAAGCCCCGGCUAACUUCGUGCCAGCAGCCGCAGUAAGAC
rnacentral:rRNA from 1 species